GGAACUUUUAGGAUGAAACCCACAAUCCUAGCUGAUAUAAGUAAAACCGUCAUAGUGUAAUAGCACAGUGUGAUGAAAAAGAACUAGAAAUAACAAAUGAUUUAGUUGAAUCAAGUAGAACCUCAUCUAGCCUUGGUGGAGAGUUGAGUCACUCCACCAUCAUGGUAUCCGGACAAAAAAUAAACAAUAAGAAGGUCAUGGGUCAACAUGGACAAGAAGCAUAGACAUAGCAAUAAAAUCUACAUGAAAAGCAGAAAAGAGAAAGUUCCAAGUCAUCUUGUAAAGUAAAGAAUCAUACACUUGACAAACAUAAUCACCUGGCU
rnacentral:lncRNA from 1 species